AAAAUAAAUAUGGGGGAAACUCUAUGGGGAGAUAUCUACUGGGGAAACCAAGCAGAAAUUCCAUUGACACCAGAGUUGCAAUGGGAGAACAUCAAUCACUUCGUUGGGGAAGAAAAACUCGUCUUGAGGAUCAACACUAACAAUGAUCAAAUUCUGAACAUACUGCAGUACUGAAAAAUAAGAACCAUUAUACUCUUUAGAACAUCUCUUGCAUCUUAGUCUACUGAGGAUUAUAUUGAACUUCUUUGAGAGGUCGCUGAAUCCGGCUGAGGUCUAUGCAU
rnacentral:lncRNA from 1 species